AUUUAUAUAAGGAUUUCGAUGCUGAGAAGCUACUUUUGCGUUGCGUAACUGUAUCGAGCGAAGUGCAAUGUGUAUCUAUCGAACUGUCAUAUUGUAUUUCCAAUAAGAAGCGUUUGUUCGAAAUAACAAUUCUAAAGCCGACUUGGAUGGAGCCAACUUGGAGAUAAUUGUAGUAAGAAAAAAAAUUAAGUACAUCUAGUUUCGAGAUAUUUCGAGAAUCUAUCGAAGAUACACAAUCACGUAACAUUAAACUGAAUUAAUGGAAUGGAAUAUCUCUGGAUACUCGAAGAUCAUCGGAGAUACAUUCUCUCACAAGGGAUGAGAUCUUUAGUGAGGAAUAUUCAGAAGUGCUCAUCAUCUUCGUCAUUGUUGGCAUCAAUCGUGCUAUUAAUCCAGUUUAAAUAAUGCUGUAUCUCGGUAUAUACAUCUGGAUAACCCGGUCUAGCACAACCGGAACCGAAGGAUGUGACACCGACCAGCUGCCAAACACCGUCAGGGCGACGACAUUGCAGAGGUCCUCCGGAAUCACCCUAAAGAUUAGAAUAGACAAAGAAAUAAGAAUCAAUAAAAACAGUUUUUACCACGCAACUUCCCGAAGAACCGUCGGUCUGACCGGCACAGAGAUGACCCUUCCUGAUGGGCACCGAAGUGCCAUAAGCUUGUAAGCACUCUUUGAGAUUCAGAAGAGGAACGCUAGCCUCCAGAAG